rnacentral:lncRNA from 1 species
GCUUCUCAAUACCUCAUUCCCCCAAUCUCAACCUUCACGAUAUUUCAUUUCCCCCAAUAUCUCAUUUUUUAUUCCCUCCACGACGCUGGAUUUAUCUCAACACACAGAUUCUGAACAAGGAUUUCCCCCAUUCUCUGAUCCCAAAGGUGAGGGGCUAAUACUCGGAGCUCUGUAGAGUGUUUUUUUUACUUGAUCGAGUACUACCGGUAAUCUCGCAAUUUUAAACCUUCUAUCGGUGAGCAUCGGUUUUGAUCGAUGAUGAAGGUUUACGUACGUUUGAAUUUUUGUUUUGACCGAGAACUGUUUUUUUUAACACAGAUUUUGAUAUCUUAUUCUUAUGAUUUUUUUAAUUCGGAUUGAUUUGUUUGGAUAUAAGAUAUUAAUGAAUAUGAUCGAUGCUAUAAUUAGAAUCAAUUUUGAGAUUUUUGCUGAGAAUUAUGUUUAAUCAAAGUGUAUUACUUAAAAAUAUAGUUAAAACUUAAAUAUUUUUUUUAGCUAUCCAUAUGGAAAUUGACCAAAGAUAUGAUUCUCAUAUUCAUUAAUUAUUAAUGUAUGGAGAUUUUUCCUCCCUUUUUUUAAAAUUCUGAUUUGAAUACUGUCCUUAAUCAUAAUUUAUCAUCUAUUCUGAAGAUAAGAGUCAAUGGUAUUUUGUAAUGCUAUAUAUAUAAUCAAAAUGUAACUGAGACCUUAAUUUUAAUCCUCUAGCUUCAAUUUGUUGGGUUUUUGUUGAUUAUUAGAAAAUUUAGUUAAAUGGUGGGAUAAAAAAUUCCUGUUCUUAUUCUGAGAUCAGAAAUUCAUUAUUUGUGUGAUAUUAUCUUAUUCUAAGCAGGAUUCCGGUGACUCUGGACGUGAAGAACCUAGGGAUGAUGACAUUGAAAUGGGAAGAGAUACAAAGAAGAAUUAUGUUGAACUUGUACUUGAUUGUUUUUCAAGCAGGUUGGAUUUGUUUCUUAUUACUACACUGUGUGUUUUGAUAUUUUAAAUCGCAUCAAUCAACAUUUAAUUUUUAGUAGUGGUUAUCGUCAUUUUAUUUUGGUUAUACUUAUAUAAAUCUUAACAUAUCCUUAUUGCUUGUUUAAUACCUUGUUAGUUUCUUCACCUUCUCAGGAUUUCCUUAUGAUUCAGGUACUUUGCAUUUUAAUUGAUGAUUUGCCCCGUCCCUCUUAUUGAAGGUGAGAAUUUUUUAUCUACAUAUAUUUAGAGGUUGAUUUCCUUGCAGUAUUUUUAGACCAUUUUACAGUUUACAAAACUGCUAUAUGUCAGAGUAUUUGACUCCACGUAAGUAAUUUACAAAACUGCUAAUAUAUUUUUUGUGAGUAAUUUUUCUAUUUUAAUUAUUUUUCUAUUUUUAUCAAUUUUAAAUACUGAAUAUUUUGUUGUAUUCACAUAAUAUAAAUGGCUCACAAAAAAAAGUUGGUUAAUAAAAAACGAUUUACACGAAGUUCUUCGACAACGAAGAGCCUACUUCAAGUCAAGUUCCGACUCCAACUUCAACUCCAUCUCCUCAAGUUCUGAGUUCAACUCAAGUUCCGAUUACAACUCAAGUUCCGACUCCAACUUCGACUCCUCAAGAUCCAACUUCAACACCAACUCCAACUUCGACUCCUCAAGUUCCAACUCCAACACCAACUCCAACUCCAACUCCUCAUGUUCCAUUGUUAUUUUAGAUUAUGAAUGUUACUAUCAAUGUUAAUGAUGUUACUAUGAUUUAUAACAUAUUUUGAAUAUUAAAUGAUUUUACUCAUUAAUGUUGAAUGAAUUUAGUGAGUAAUUUUGAAGGUGAAUUAUGAAUGUUAUAUGAUUUAUUUCUAAAG